rnacentral:rRNA from 1 species
GACGAACGCUGGCGGCGUGCUUAACACAUGCAAGUCGAACGGAAAGGCCCUGCUUUUGUGGGGUGCUCGAGUGGCGAACGGGUGAGUAACACGUGAGUAACCUGCCCUUGACUUUGGGAUAACUUCAGGAAACUGGGGCUAAUACCGGAUAGGAGCUCCUGCUGCAUGGUGGGGGUUGGAAAGUUUCGGCGGUUGGGGAUGGACUCGCGGCUUAUCAGCUUGUUGGUGGGGUAGUGGCUUACCAAGGCUUUGACGGGUAGCCGGCCUGAGAGGGUGACCGGCCACAUUGGGACUGAGAUACGGCCCAGACUCCUACGGGAGGCAGCAGUGGGGAAUAUUGCACAAUGGGCGGAAGCCUGAUGCAGCAACGCCGCGUGCGGGAUGACGGCCUGCGGGUUGUAAACCGCCUUCGCCUGUGACGAAGCGUGAGUGACGGUAAUGGGUAAAGAAGCACCGGCUAACUACGUG